UACGUAGGCAGCAAGCGUUGUUCGGAGUUACUGGGCGUAAAGGGUGCGUAGGCGGUCCUAUAAGUAUGGUGUGAAAUCUCCCGGCUUAACUGGGAGGGUGCGCUAUAGACUGUGGGACUAGAGUGUGGGAGAGGAAAGUGGAAUUCCUGGUGUAGCGGUGAAAUGCGUAGAUAUCAGGAGGAACACCGGUGGUGUAAACGGCUUUCUGGACCAUAACUGACGCUGAGGCACGAAAGCGUGGGUAGCAAACAGG
rnacentral:rRNA from 1 species